GUGUCUGAGUCCAAACUUCCCUCUUUGCAUAUGGACACCGGCCAUCGGGUCAGGGCCGCCCUAAUGACCGUGUCUUAUCUUGCAAAGACCCUAUUUCCAAAUAAAGUCAUAUUCACAGGGUCCGGGGGUUGGGACACCCACAUGCCUCUUCUGGGGCACACAGUUCAGCCCGUAACAGGGGUGGUUCCUUCGUCACAUAUGACAUGCUUGCCCUGGGAUUUAGAUGGGACUCUGGAAGUCCCCAAAGACUUAUAGAUUUGCCGAGUGUCAUUAAUCUAGAUGUGACUUGUCAUUAACUAAACACCAAUUUCUUAGGUGACAGGCAAGCUUCUUUUUUUAAGGAAUGAAUCGUUAAGACGGGACUUGGAACUUUCCCCACCCAAAUGGUGAAUCACUUGAAUUCCACUCGCUUGAAUCUCCCGUCGGGAUUUUCUUUAAUUUUUUUUUUUUUAAUGUUUAUUUCUUUUUGAGACAGAGAGAGACAGAGCAUGAGCGGAGGAGGGACAGAGAGAGAGAGAGACACAGAAUCCGAAGCAGCCCGGGGCUCCGAGCUGUCAGCACAGAGCCCGACGCGGGGCUCGAAAUCACGAGCUGUGAGAUCAUGACCUGAGCUGGAGUCGGCCGCUUAACCGCUUAACCACUUAACCGACUGAGCCACCCAGGUGCCCCACCUGUUGGGAUUUUCAAAGGCGCUGCUAACCUCGGCUCUCCUGGACCUUCACUCCUAGAAGAACUCCCUCUUCCUGGACCCUCCGCGGCAGAAGACUAAGCACAGAAAAUGUGUCCUGCCUUCACAGGCCUGAAUAUCGGGUAGAUUUUCUCCCGCAGACGGAGACGUUUUCCAUUUUAUUGUUUGUUCUGCCGUCCAGCUCAGGACGGCAAGAAAUGACCUCAUGAAGAUACAGGUGAGGCCUUCUGCCAGCUCCCGCCCCACCUCACGUGGACAGAGUACCUGGCAGGCAGCAGGUGGAGACCACUCAGGUUGCCCCUUGAGGACCCAACCCCACAGGGUCACCUGCAGGCCAUACCUGGGAGCAGGGCGGUCUCUGGCCUGCUGGGUUAGGAACUGCCCUUCGGUCUGUGCCCGCCACCCAGCCUGCCACCUCUACCCAGCGGGAGAACCGCCACUCCUUCCUGGAUCUGCGAUGCCAGCCUCCCAGCAGCCCUUCUGAGGUGUCAGCCUGGUCGGCUCUCUUCACCCUCAGGGGCUGACCCAGCCCCAUUCUUCUCCCCACACUAACCCCGCUUUGUAGCCCAAAGAGCACCUGACCCAGGGCAGAUGCCUGGUCAAUAAAUGACCUGUGUGGCCC
rnacentral:lncRNA from 1 species